GAAAACCGUUAAUGACCGUUAAUUUUUAAAAAACAACAGCCUCGUGAGUCGUUCGACCGUAAAACGGUAAAUAAAACAAGAUUAAAGUUUUCAGCACCGCGAGCUUUGGACAGCGCUCGAGACGGUUGGUUCUAAAAUUUUACCUGACAGAAAUUCAAGACUGUUGGGUAGAACAUAGAGCAGUUAUAGUCAGGAGGAAGAGAGCUGCUUCCAUCAGAAUCUGAACCACAGGGGGCUCUACUCAUACAGGGCAGUGCUGUAGUAGGCGAAGGAAUUCUUCAGAGGGGAGAACCAUGCCACUGUCAGACUGUGAAUCCUGAACAAGCACAAAUUAUACGAUGGGUGCUGUACUCUGGAGCACGCAUUCGAGUUCCUUGUUUCAGUCUGUGACAAAACUCCUCAUCAAUGUUGAGCCCUGGAUAUGGAGAUGCCCCUGUGUGCCACAAAACCCACCACAAAGACAAAAAGGCUUUUCAUACCCAGUGAGAAGAUCUCCCAGAGCAGAACACCAUAGGACCAGACGUCACUCUGAGUGGUGAAGACCUUGUCAAAGAUGGAUUCUGGAGACAUCCACUUGAGUGGUAAACGAGCCUACAGAGCAAAAUACAUCGCAGCAUAAACAACAUGCUUACUAAAUACAUCAUAACACCUAAUCUGAACCAUUCACCAUUGCCUCUGAGCCACCAGUCACUCUGUGCCAUGUCAUAUUGGAAUACAGGUGCUUAUUGGCCACGCAGGACAGGACAGGAUUGAAGGUGGACGUGACUUCAGUCCUCUCGCUCACUAUCGUCCAGGAGGAGGAAGCCGGCCCCUCACAUCUUAACAGCAAAACCAGAAAAAGAAACCAAGAAAGAAAAAGGAAGAGAGAGGGACAGAACUUAGUUCAGCUGGGUUUAUGAGCGUGAGUUCACACCACACAGGUGUGUGUGUGUGUGUGUGACACAGCUGCAGCAGGACAAGGGAACUCCGGAAAUGUCUCAUCAUCUUUAGUCCCCUGGGAAUUGAAAUCUGUUUUUAGCAGUAUUUUAGCCUCAUUGAUAAAAUGUUUCAGUCGUGGGA